CCUACGGGCGACAGCAGUAGGGAAUAUUGCUCAAUGGGGGAAACCCUGAAGCAGCAACGCCGCGUGGAGGAUGAAGGUUUUAGGAUUGUAAACUCCUUUUGUUAGAGAAGAUUAUGACGGUAGCUAACGAAUAAGCACCGGCUAACUCCGGGCCAGCAGCCGCGGUAAUACGGAGGGGGCAAGCGUUACUCGGAAUCACUGGGCGUAAAGAGGGCGUAGGCGGGGUAAUAAGUCAGAUGUGAAAUCCUGUGGCUUAACUACAGAACUGCAUUUGAAACUGUUACUCUGGAGUGUGGGAGAGGUAGGUGGAAUUCUUGGUGUAGGGGUACACUCCGUAGAGCUCAAGAGGAAUCCUCAUUGCGAAGGCGACCUGCUGGAACAUUACUGCCGCUGAUGCACGAAAGCGUGGGGAGCAAACAGGAUUAGAUACCCUUGUAGUC
rnacentral:rRNA from 1 species